rnacentral:rRNA from 1 species
ACUCCUACGGGAGGCAGCAGUGAGGAAUAUUGGACAAUGGAGGCAACUCUGAUCCAGCCAUGCCGCGUGUAGGAAGACUGCCCUAUGGGGUUAGUAAACUACUUUUAUAGAGGAAGAAAUCGCAAUACGUGUAUUGCUCUGACGGUACUCUACGAAUAAGGAUCGGCUAACUCCGUGCCAGCAGCCGCGGUAAUACGGAGGAUCCAAGCGUUAUCCGGAAUCAUUGGGUUUAAAGGGUCCGUAGGCGGGCGUAUAAGUCAGUGGUGAAAGUUGCGGCUCAACCGUAAAAUUGCCAUUGAUACUGUAUGUCUUGAAUAAUUGUGAAGUGGUUAGAAUAUGUAGUGUAGCGGUGAAAUGCAUAGAUAUUACAUAGAAUACCGAUUGCGAAGGCAGAUCAC